rnacentral:rRNA from 1 species
UACGAAGGGUGCAAACGUUGCUCGGAAUUAUUGGGCGUAAGGAGCUCGUAGGCGGCUUGUCGCGUCGGAUGUGAAAGCCCGGGGCUUAACUCCGGGUCUGCAUUCGAUACGGGCAGGCUAGAGUUCGGUAGGGGAGAUCGGAAUUCCUGGUGUAGCGGUGAAAUGCGCAGAUAUCAGGAGGAACACCGGUGGCGAAGACGGAUCUCUGGGCCGAUACUGACACUGAGGAGCGAAAGCGUGGGGAGCGAACAGG